CCUCCCUCCAGCGUCCUCUCCAGUCGCCUCCCUCCCUCCAGCGCUCUCUCAGCGUCGACCUCCAGCGCCAACUCCGCACAAAAGCCCUAGCCUCUCAACAUCCAGCAUCGCCGACCUCCAGUGCCGCCUCCCUUCAGCAUCGCUGACCUCCAGCAACCUCCCGUCCUCCACCUCCAGCGGCCUCUAGCGACCUCGAAUUCGAUUCCAGCGACCUCCGUCCUUGGCACCGUGUGGACAGAGCAAUUUGAAGAUUAUUUAAGCAAUGCAAGCGGUGUUGUGCAUUUGGAACGGAUCUUGAUCUUUGAAGAUCUUUGUCAAAGAUCCAACUAUCAUUGUGCAAAUAAGAAAGAGAACUAAGCACCAACUGGGUUCAAGACAAAAAAUGAACGUAUUUUUUUUAAAGAUAAAGCAAGCACACAGGAGAUCUCGGAACAAGUAAGAAGUCAGAGAUGAGUUGACUUUGUUUCUCACGCUGAUCAGGACGGGCACCAAGAAUAGUUGCUUGGUCUCUGACCUACUCCCAAGCUGCUAGCUCUUUGGCUGUCGAGAUAUAAUGGAUGUUGAUCUAGUGAUGGAGAAUGAUGAGACUAAUUUUGAAGCCUAAAUAUUGAAGGAAAAGUCCGUGGAUGAUCCCUUAGUAUUAUUUUCUUCUUAAUACAUGUGUUGCUUAUGCUUGAGGCACAGUGUAUAUCAAUUAUUUACAGCAAAUUUAUAUGAAAUUAACUCAUCUGAGUUUGUAAUUUAUUUCACCAAGAAUUUUCUUGUAGCAUUCUACUAGGAAAUCCCAAAUAAGAUAUUCAAGUCA